CCCUUAGAGUUUGAUCCUGGCUCAGGACGAACGCUGGCGGCGUGCCUAACACAUGCAAGUCGAACGAGUCCAGGUCUUCGGACCUGAGGCGAGUGGCGGACGGGUGAGUAACACGUGAGCAAUCUAUCCUGUUGCGGGGGACAACGAGGGGAAACCUUCGCUAAUACCGCAUGGUCGAGAACCUCGAUGGGGUUUUCGGGAAACGUGGCCUCUUAGCAAUGCUACGGCGAUGGGAGGAGCUCGCGGGCUAUCAGCUUGUUGGUGAGGUCAUGGCUCACCAAGGCGACAACGGCUACGGGGUCUGAGAGGACGACCCCGCACACUGGAACUGAGACACGGUCCAGACUCCUACGGGAGGCAGCAGUGGGGAAUAUUGGGCAAUGGCCGAAAGGCUGACCCAGCGACGCCGCGUGUGGGAGGAAGCCCUUCGGGGUGUAAACCACUGUCAGGAGGGACGAAAGAGUCGGGGGUGAAUAAUCCUCGGCAGUGACGGUACCUCCAAAGGAAGCACCGGCUAACUCUGUGCCAGCAGCCGCGGUAAUACAGAGGGUGCGAGCGUUGUUCGGAAUUACUGGGCGUAAAGCGCGCGCAGGCGGGUCCUGUAAGUCGGAAGUGAAAUUUCGGAGCUCAACUCCGAAGCUGCUUCUGAUACUGCGGAUCUGGAGAUCGGUAGAGGUCGGUGGAAUUACAGGUGUAGCGGUGGAAUGCGUAGAUAUCUGUAAGAACACCCGUGGC
rnacentral:rRNA from 1 species